AAUUCAGACCACCUGAAGCUCCUCAGGUACUGCAGCACAAGAUGGCUAAGUCUGUUAACCUGCAUCCAGAGAGUGUUGAACCAGUGGGAUGCACUACAGUCAUGAGGAGGUGGAGAGGAGUGCCAAAGUGCGUGAUCUGGCAAGCCAUCUGUGUGAUCCAGUCAUGAAGAUCUACUUCAUGUUCAUGUGGCCCUUAAGCCUUUAUCUGAAUUUAACAUUGCCUUCCAGAGGGAGUACAAAUUCACAGACUUGAAGAGGAGAUGUGCAGGCUGAUCAGGAGGAUCCUGUAUGAAAGGAAUUUGGCAGAAGUCGAUUAGUUUAAGAGUCUGACAAAACUUUAUUUCCUUUACCAAAUAUUUGGAGAACAGACACUCAGCAGUUUCACAUGCAUCUUGUGACCUGUUUCCUGAACAACAGGUGCUUACAAUUUUUAUAACCAAGAAAUUGCGACAGCUUGCAGUCAGCUGAUGAAGUCCGCUGAAGAGGAGAGCAAGGGGGGUUUGACCCUGUGGACAUUAGUUACAAUUGUGAUGGGACAUGUUUAUCAGGUCAACACAGGUUCGGUUCUUUCCAUGAUCACUAUCCUGUGUCAAUUGAAGACAGGGUCGAUCUUCUCAUAAACAAGUUAAGUUCUUCAUUUUACUUCCCCAUAUUCAAGCCUUUCUUAUGUUGCAACAGCUUACUUUUCGGAUCAGGUCUGUACCUUGAUCCGAUCCUCUUGCAGAUUGAGCAAAAAAUCAAAAUAAAUCAGUUCCGCUUUUAUGCAUGAAAGCCUAUUUUUUCCUUCUAACUGCAAGCUAAUAUUACUGUUUAACAGA